rnacentral:rRNA from 1 species
GACGAACGCUGGCGGCGUGCCUAACACAUGCAAGUCGAACGGAAAACAUAGCAAUAUGUUUUUAGUGGCGAACGGGUGAGUAACGCGUAGACAACCAACCUUUUUGUGGGGGACAACACUUCGAAAGGAGAGCUAAUACCGCAUACGCUCCAGAUGCCGCCUGGUGUUUGGAGGAAAGGAGCUUUACGGCUUCGCAAAAAGACGGGUCUGCGUCUGAUUAGCUAGUUGGAGGGGUAACGGCCCACCAAGGCGACGAUCAGUAGCCGGUCUGAGAGGAUGGACGGCCACACUGGGACUGAGACACGGCCCAGACUCCUACGGGAGGCAGCAGUGGGGAAUCUUCCGCAAUGGACGAAAGUCUGACGGAGCGACGCCGCGUGAGUGAUGAAGGCCCUUGGGUCGUAAAGCUCUGUCAUCAGGGACGAACGGUCACGUCAGGAAAUGGGCGUGAAUUGACGGUACCUGAGAAGGAAGCCACGGCUAACUACGUGCCAGCAGCCGCCGCG